rnacentral:misc_RNA from 1 species
GAUGAAGAACGCAGCGAAAUGCGAUAAGUAAUGUGAAUUGCAGAAUUCAGUGAAUCAUCGAAUCUUUGAACGCACAUUGCGCCCGCCAGUAUUCUGGCGGGCAUGCCUGUUCGAGCGUCAUUACAACCCUCAGGCCCCCGGGCCUGGCGUUGGGGAUCGGCGGAGCCCCCCGUGGGCACACGCCGUCCCCCAAAUACAGUGGCGGUCCCGCCGCAGCUUCCAUCGCGUAGUAGCUAACACCUCGCGACUGGAGAGCGGCGCGGCCACGCCGUAAAACACCCAACUCUUCUGAAGUUGACCUCGAAUCAGGUAGGACUACCCGCUGAACUUAAGCAUAUCAAUAAGCGGAGGA